rnacentral:rRNA from 1 species
CGCGGCCUAUCAGCUUGUUGGUGAGGUAACGGCUCACCAAGGCAUCGACGGGUAGCUGGUCUGAGAGGACGAUCAGCCACACUGGGACUGAGACACGGCCCAGACUCCUACGGGAGGCAGCAGCAGGGAAUAUUGCGCAAUGGGCGAAAGCCUGACGCAGCGACACCGCGUGAAGGAUGAAGGCCCUCGGGUUGUAAACUUCUUUCAGUGGGGAAGAAGCGAAAGUGACGGUACCCACAGAAGAAGCCCCGGCCAACUACGUGCCAGCAGCCGCGGUAAUACGUAGGGGGCAAGCGUUGUCCGGAUUCAUUGGGCGUAAAGAGCUCGUAGGCGGCUUGGCAAGUCGGUCGUGAAAUACCGAGGCUCAACCUCGGGAGGCCGGUCGAAACUGCUGUGGCUAGGGUCCGGUAGAGGAGAGUGGAAUUCCCGGUGUAGCGGUGAAAUGCGCAGAUAUCGGGAGGAACACCAGUAGCGAAGGCGGCUCUCUGGGCCGGUACCGACGCUGAGGAGCGAAAGCUAGGGGAGCAAACAGGAUUAGAUACCCUGGUAGUCCUAGCCGUAAACGUUGGGCACUAGGUGUGGCGGAUUCAUUGACAUCUGCCGUGCCGAAGCUAACGCAUUAAGUGCCCCGCCUGGGGAGUACGG